CUUUCAUGAUGAUUUGCGAGUGUAGCACCAUCGUAUAUAAACGAAGCCAGUGACGCUUUACGUUUACAAGAAAUUUUCUUCCCUCCCCCUCAACAUGCGAAACCUUUCCAAGAUUUUGUUAUGCGUUCUCAUGAUCCAGGUGACCUUUUCGUUAAAGAUACCGAGAAAUGUUUUGGUGAGACAGGCACUUCUAAGGCUCUUACUAAAUGAGAGCAAAUCAAGUGGAGGACAGUUUGAACAGAUAGUACCGAACUUACUCAAGUUGUAUAACAGUUUGCAAAAAUCAAAACAACGACCCCCGGAUUCAAACCGUAUGAAAAUUAUGCGUUUCUGACAUGAAAAAGACGUUAAUAGGAUUUCAUUCCGUUAUACAAAGCCGGUUAUAUAUUAAAAGCCAUCACUAUAGUAGAAUUAAUUUGGAUAAAAUAAAACAAAAUUGGAAAAGAAAUCAUUAUUUUUAUGAUUUAGAUACUCAGAUAAAAUUGAUGGCAGCUUGAUUGUAAAUGUUGUUUAAUAUUUUGCAGUCUAUAUAAAUGUUGAUACCUUGUCAGAACUGUAUUAACUAUAGACACGAAAUGAAAGUGUAUUGAAUAAAAAUUAACCUCU